rnacentral:tRNA from 2 species
AUCAGGAUGGCCGAGGGGUUAAGGCGUUGGACUUAAGAUCCAAUGGACAAAUGUCCUCGUGGGUUCGAAUCCCACUCCUGGUA